rnacentral:rRNA from 1 species
AUUGAACGCUGGCGGCAGGCCUAACACAUGCAAGUCGAACGAGUGGCGGACGGGUGAGUAAUGUCUGGGAAACUGCCUGAUGGAGGGGGCUAACUACUGGAAACGGUAGCUAAUACCGCAUACCAUCGGAUGUGCCCAGAUGGGAUUAGCUUGUUGGUGGGGUAACGGCUCACCAAGGCGACGAUCCCUAGCUGGUCUGAGCGGAUGACCAGCAACACUGGAACUGAGACACGGACCAGACUCCUACGGGAGGCAGCAGUGGGGAAUAUUGAACAAUGGGCGCAAGACUGAUGCAGCCAUGCCGAGUGUAUGAAGAAGGCCUUCGGGUUGUAAAGUACUUGCAGCGGGGAGGCGUUACCCGCAGAAGAAGCACCGGCUAACUCCGUGCCAGCCGCCGCGGUAAUAC